GAACGAAAGUCGGAGGUUCGAAGACGAUCAGAUACCGUCGUAGUUCCGACCGUAAACGAUGCCGACCCGCGAUCCGGCGGCGUUAUUCCCAUGACCCGCCGGGCAGCGUGCGGGAAACCACGAGUCUUUGGGUUCCGGGGGGAGUAUGGUUGCAAAGCUGAAACUUAAAGGAAUUGACGGAAGGGCACCACCAGGAGUGGAGCCUGCGGCUUAAUUUGACCCAAC
rnacentral:rRNA from 1 species